rnacentral:rRNA from 1 species
GAUGAACGCUGGCGGCGUGCCUAAUACAUGCAAGUCGAGCGAACGGACGAGAAGCUUGCUUCUCUGAUGUUAGCGGCGGACGGGUGAGUAACACGUGGAUAACCUACCUAUAAGACUGGGAUAACUUCGGGAAACCGUAGCUAAUACCGGAUAAUAUUUUGAACCGCAUGGUUCAAAAGUGAAAGACGGUCUUGCUGUCACUUAUAGAUGGAUCCGCGCUGCAUUAGCUAGCUGGUAAGGUAACGGCUUACCAAGGCAACGAUGCAUAGCCGACCUGAGAGGGUGAUCGGCCACACUGGAACUGAGACACGGUCCAGACUCCUACGGGAGGCAGCAGUAGGGAAUCUUCCGCAAUGGGCGAAAGCCUGACGGAGCAACGCCGCGUGAGUGAUGAAGGUCUUCGGAUCGUAAAACUCUGUUAUUAGUGAAGAACAUAUGUGUAAGUAACUGUGCACAUCUUGACGGUACCUAAUCAGAAAGCCACGGCUAACUACGUG